GGCACAGAUUGGAGGAGUAUCCGAUUCUCGAUAAAAAAUUUACCCUUUGCUCUUCUUACUCACUUCAUUUGCUUUUAGUCAUGGGAGGUUUGGGA